rnacentral:rRNA from 1 species
CAGUGAUAUUUUUCAACGGCCGCGGGAAUCCUACACCGUGCAAAGGUAGCAUAAUCACUUGUCAUCUAAAUAAUGACUAGUAUGAAUGGCCCCAUGAGGACUUCCCUGUCUCUUGUAACCAAUCAAUGAAACUGAUCCCCCAGUACAAAAGCUGGGAUAAAAUCACAAGACGAAAAGACCCUGUGGAACUUACAAGUGCUAAUCAACAAAAUGACAUAACCACUUUUAGUUGGGGCAACUUUGGAACAAAACAAAACUUCCAAUUAUGAUACUCACCCUAACCCAAAACUAGAUCCACACAUCAACUUUUGACCAACAAUUGACCCAGUAUUACUGAUCAAAGAAACAAGCUACCCCAGGGAUAACAGCGCCAUCCCCUCUUAGAGCCCAAAUCGACGAGCGGGGCUUACGACCUCGAUGUUGGAUCAGGGCCCCCAAACAGUGCAGCAGCUGUUAAAGGUUUGUUUGUUCAACAAUUAAUGCCCUACGU